rnacentral:rRNA from 1 species
GACGAACGCUGGCGGCGUGCUUAACACAUGCAAGUCGAACGGAAAGGCCCUGCUUGCAGGGUACUCGAGUGGCGAACGGGUGAGUAACACGUGGGUGAUCUGCCCUGCACUUCGGGAUAAGCCUGGGAAACUGGGUCUAAUACCGGAUAGGAGCCAUUUUUAGUGUGAUGGUUGGAAAGUUUUUUCGGUGUAGGAUGAGCUCGCGGCCUAUCAGCUUGUUGGUGGGGUAAUGGCCUACCAAGGCGGCGACGGGUAGCCGGCCUGAGAGGGUGGACGGCCACAUUGGGACUGAGAUACGGCCCAGACUCCUACGGGAGGCAGCAGUGGGGAAUAUUGCACAAUGGGCGCAAGCCUGAUGCAGCGACGCCGCGUGGGGGAUGACGGCUUUCGGGUUGUAAACUCCUUUCGCUAGGGACGAAGCUUUUUGUGACGGUACCUAGAUAAGAAGCACCGGCUAACUACGUG